UCCUCGACAGACAUACAGGUGGCAGCAGAGAGCCAUGAGGCCACAGCAGCUGAUGUCCCAGGGUCCACUGCAACACAAUUAAAAAUGUAUGUCUUUUAUUCCAUGCCAGCUCCAUUUUUGUGUCACUUCUCAGGACAUCCAGAAUUCAGAGGGUAGCAAUAGCAAGGACAGCAGUAGCGACACAUUGAAAGGAAAGAAAUGCCGUUUGAGAAGGAUGAGGUGAUGGGAUGCAGGCCUGGGACAAUACGCGCUGCUAUCGUGUUGUAUCAAUUACAGCUGACCACCAGUCAGGUGGGUCUGCGGGACAUUUUAGAUCACGAAGGGGCAGCCAGCUAGCUCAGCGCCUCCAGCCUGCUCUCAGACUCCAGUCCCAGGCCCCGCUGAGGCCUUGUCCCAGGCAGGGCAGAGAGACACCUGGCCAAACCGCAGAAACACUUCCAGCUGCAGACUGCCUGAUGCUCACCACGGAGAGAAUCCAGGCCAAAGGUGGAGGAGCUCUCCAAGAACUGCCAUAGACGUUUCUCUGAAUUUCAUGAUGUUUAUUUUAACCGCAGUACCAAGCAUUCGCUCAUCUGUCGAGGUUCAGUAAUGUAAGGCAUGGCUUUAAGGUCCAGAGCAAACUUUUACAUUGCCAACAUGUUUACACUGUGUCACAAUAAAAGUCUCCUUCCUUCCCCAAAAUGGAAAACAAAGCAGAGCAGUAAGACGGUUAAACGGUGCUCGUCGGAGUGAAAGUGGGAGAACACAAGGGGUGAAGAAAAAAGGCAGAGAGCACAACAGCUCCCUUUUCUCUCCGACCAGUUGACAUGAAAGGACACAUUAUGUCCGAGAUUAGAGGCAAUUACACUGGGAGUGCGCUUUAAGACCUCUGUUUGCCAACAUGACAGGAGGGAGCAGGGCUGUAAUUUGAUGAGGGGGCAGCGCGAUUGAGAAACUCUGCAUGGCGAGCUCCCAGCAGAGAGAGGCAAAGAGAAGCCUUUGUCUGUAUGGACAUGCCAAUUGGUAGAUAUGUGAAUAUUACUAUAUAUACUAGGAUUCAUGAAUUAGCAGAGGUGUCUUUAUCCCCAUUGUCAGAUGUAUUGUGAGGCUACUGUUUAUGGCUGAAAAGUGAGUUUAAAGAGACUUUACAGCCUUAAAGGAAAUACUUUCAUCUUUGCCUUUUGUUCCAGAUGACAGCUUCAAAAGCUGCUAUUUAUUGUUUCAGCAUUUAUAUUAAUUCAAAUGGGACAAUUGUGUCGGUUCAUUCAAAUGUCACAAAUACUGUAAACAUAUGAUUCAGCCUGAACUUUAGGUCAAACAAAAGCACCGCACCAGAUCUUCAAGACGGGACAUCUCCUCUCUUCUGGCCGGGCGCAUUGUUCAACACACUGCGAGUUUUCAGGACAGGAAACGAGCUGCUUGUUCCAGCCCGACCGACAGAAUGGAGCACGUCUUUAUUUGAGGGAAGUCAUUCCGUUGAUAUAUAAAACACCAAAGCAAAGUUUCCUUCCCCCUCACUUUCCUGGUGCUAUCCCCUUCAAAAGGACGCA
rnacentral:lncRNA from 1 species